rnacentral:rRNA from 1 species
AUUGAACGCUGGCGGCAGGCCUAACACAUGCAAGUCGAACGAGUGGCGGACGGGUGAGUAAUGUCUGGGAAACUGCCUGAUGGAGGGGGAUCCCUACUGGAAACGGUAGCUAAUACCGCAUACCAUCGGAUGUGCCCAGAUGGGAUUAGCUAUUAGGUGGGGUAAAGGCUCACCUAGGCGACGAUCCCUAGCUGGUCUGAGAGGAUGACCAGACACAAUGGAACUGAGACACGGUCCAGACUCCUACGGGAGGAAGCAGGGGGGAAUAUUGCACAAUGGGCGCAAGCCUGAUGCAGCCAUGACGCGUGUAUGAAGAAGGCCUUCGGGUUGUAAAGUACUUUCAGCGGGGAGGCGUUACCCGCAGAAGAAGCACCGGCUAACGCAGUGUCAGCAGACGCGGUAAUUC